rnacentral:lncRNA from 10 species
CCAUAAGAAAACCAAACUGCAUUUACGUGCGCUUUCAACAGUGUUAGAAAACUAAGCACUCAAAUUUUUUGUACUACAUAUAACACUUUACAUGAACUUUCAGAUAUUAAGUAAAGUUUGGAUCCUCAAUUCUUUAUAAAGCCGUUUAUAAGAGGUAAAUAUCUUCACGACCGCCAAAUGAGAGAAAAAGAUUUCGAAGUUCGUCUCUUAAGUUACUACGUGGAAUGCAGAGGGGCUCAACUGCAGCUGUGUGUGUGUUUAUUUUUAAUGCCGCGAUCCUAAAAACAUCUUUAGGAGUUUAGGUUUGCUUCACUGCCUUUCCCAAAAUUCAGCAGCUUUGAUUUGCCUUUUCCAGGGAGACAGGAAGCCAAUAAACAGGGAAAAAAAAGCAAACGGCGACAAUUACAAGGUCGUGAAACUCCACGACCUCCCAGCUGAAAACAAGACCUCGGGUUUGCACUCCGGCUCUCUAGGGCAGACACUGACCUUAGGAGUCUGCGAAACGCCCACGCUCCACGUAACUUUCUCUGAAACAUUCUCUGGAAAGCUUGUCUUUUCCUAGCCGAAUCUGGAUUACCAAGGCUUCCGGAACUCGCAGGCUUCCGGAGCGACGCAGGAGCCGGAAGUGGCUGAAAAAAAAAAGAAAAAGUUACACCAACGAGAACUGCGCUUUAGCGGCGCUGCUGAAGGCACUGGAUGGCCAAACAACCGCGAACGCCGACAAGCCGAAGAGCCGAAGGGCCGAAAAGCCGAAGCGGACACCCGCGCGCGGUGAUUGGCCGGUUGGCCGGAAGAACUCUGUCUCUGAUUGGCAGGAGAGUCACGAACCGGUCAGCCCCGGGUCAGGGGCCGCAAUUCUGUAGUCAGAAGUCCAACAUGGUUCUCAAUGGCCUAAAAUCAAGGUGUCCACAGGAUUGUGUUCCUUUCUAGAGAGCAAGCUGCAGUGUGGUAAACUGCCUUUGAAAGAGACCCACAUGUCAAGAAACUGAGCAUCACCUGUGACCAACAGCCAGAAAGUAACUGAAGCCCCAAGACGAACAGCUUGUGCAAAACUAAAUUCUGCCUACAACAAGAGCAUGAAUUGAGACGCAGAUCCUUCCCUAGUUGAUCCUUGAAAUGCUUGCAGCUCUAUGGACACCUUGAUUGCAGCCUUGUGAGAAAUUCUGAACUAGAGGACCUCGUAUGCCUUACCCAUAGGUCUUACAAGAUAAUACGUGUUUUUCAAAAAAGUAAGUUUGGGGAUAAUUUCUUAUGCAGCA